rnacentral:rRNA from 1 species
GGCUCCGUUAGGAGUCAGUGCCGCAGCUAACGCAUUAAGUAUUCCACCUGGGGAGUACGAUCGCAAGGUUGAAACUCAAAGGAAUUGACGGGGGCCCGCACAAGCAGUGGAGCAUGUGGUUUAAUUCGAUGCAACGCGAAGAACCUUACCUAGGCUUGAAAUGCAGUGGAUCAGGUAUGAAAGUACCCUUCCCUUCGGGGCUGCUGUACAGGUGCUGCAUGGCUGUCGUCAGCUCGUGCCGUGAGGUGUUGGGUUAAGUCUCGCAACGAGCGCAACCCCUACUAUUAGUUGCCAUCAGGUUAUGCUGGGCACUCUAAUGGGACUGCCUACGCAAGUAGUGAGGAAGGUGGGGAUGACGUCAAGUCAGCAUGGCCCUUACGCCUAGGGCUACACACGUGCUACAAUGGAUACUACAACGGGUUGCUAAGCCGCAAGGUGGAGCCAAUCCCUUAAAGGUAUCCUCAGUUCGGAUUGGAGUCUGCAACUCGACUCCAUGAAGUUGGAAUUGCUAGUAAUCGCGUAUCAGCGCGACGCGGUGAAUACGUUCCCGGGCCUUGUACACACCGCCCGUCAAGCCAUGGAAGCCGGGGGUACCCGAAGUCGGUGACCUAACCGUAAGGAAGGAGCUGCCUAAGGUAAAACUGGUGACUGGGGCUAAGUCGUAACAAGGUAGCCG